UAGCAAGCUCCGGCAUGCCUGGUGGCUCCGCAGUGACUGUGCUUUCCUACAGUGUUUGCCAGAACAGUUUUGGAAUAGUUUGAGGCUUUGCUCUGCUCUCUCCAGAACAAGGUUAUAGAAAUUUUAGACAAUU